UUCUCCGUGGCGCAAUUGGCUAGCGCGUUCGACUGUUAUUUAUCCCAUCUGUGGGAUUUGUUGCAAUCGAGAGGUUGACAGUUCAAGCCUGUCCGGGGAAG
rnacentral:tRNA from 1 species